CACCGAAGUCAAGCAUCAUUGGGCGCGGUCAGUACUUGGGUGGGUGACCACCUGGGAACACAAC
rnacentral:rRNA from 1 species